AAAGAUUAAGCCAUGCAAGUGUCAGUUCAUGCCAAACUAAGGUGAAACCGCGAAAGGCUCAUUAAAUCAGUUAUAGUCUACUUGAUGGCAUGACGUUAUCGUUACUUGGAUAACUGUGGCAAUUCUAGAGCUAAUACAUGCAUUCGAGUCCUGACCGCUCGCGCGGAAGGGAUGCUUUUAUUAGAUCAAAACCAAUCGGGAAACCGUUUGCAGGCCUUGCCGGGCUUCGCGGCGUACCGUAACGUCUUGGUGACUCUGGAUAAAUUUACGCUGAUCGCAAGGUCUCAGCACCUGCGACGCAUCAUUCGAACGUCUGACUUAUCAACUAUCGACGGUAUGCCACGUGCCUACCGUGGUGGUAACGGGUAACGGGGAAUCAGGGUUCGAUUCCGGAGAGGGAGCCUGAGAAACAGCUACCACAUCCAAGGAAGGCAGCAGGCGCGCAAAUUACCCACUCCCGGCACGGGGAGGUAGUGACGAAAAAUAACGAUGCAGAACUCUUUUCCGAGGCUCUGCAAUCGGAAUGAGAAGACCCUAAAUCAUUUACCGAGUAUCCAUUGGAGG
rnacentral:rRNA from 1 species